rnacentral:rRNA from 1 species
CCUACGGGUGGCAGCAGUGAGGAAUAUUGGUCAAUGGACGAGAGUCUGAACCAGCCAAGUAGCGUGAAGGAUGACUGCCCUAUGGGUUGUAAACUUCUUUUAUAUGGGAAUAAAACAGGGUAUGCAUACCCUCUUGUAUGUACCAUAUGAAUAAGGAUCGGCUAACUCCUUGCCAGCAGCCGCGGUAAUACGGAGGAUCCGAGCGUUAUCCGGAUUUAUAGGGUUUAAGGGGUGCGAAGGCGGUCUGUUAAGUCAGCGGUCAAAGCCCGGGGCUAAACCCCGGCCCGCCGUUGAAACUGGCAGUCUCGAGUUUGAGAGAGGUAUGCGGAAUGCGCGGUGUAGCGGUGAAAUGCAUAGAUAUCGCGCAGAACUCCGAUUGCGAAGGCAGCAUGCCGGCUCCACACUGACGCUGAGGCACGAAAGCGUGGGUAUCGAACAGGAUUAGAUACCCUUGUAGUC